AGACUGUCAUCCAUGUAUGAAUAGGAACAGUUGGUGGCGGUAUGUGCCUAAGGUGCAGAAUACGCCAAAAAAUCCAAGGAAGAAGAAGAAGAGGAAAGAGAGAUCUGUUUGGCGAAGUGGAAGCAUGGUUUUCUCCUCAAGUAUUCAAUACAUUACAAUACAGUCCAGAUUGAGAAAUAUGUGUUUCAAGCUCAAUCAUCCAUCAUGCUCAUUUUUAAUAAGCCCAGAAGAAGGACAGAGGAGAGGCAGCAGAGACAAAAAGGGAGUGCGUAAGCAGGCCGCUUAUGGAGGAGAGAGAAUACCAGGGCUGACAGUUUUGGGAAAAGAAAGGCCUGUAGGAGUUAUGUUCGUCUCAAAGGCUGCUGUUUUCAGACAUUGCUGUGUGUCUGACAUCCUGGGACUCCACUUCACCCCAGACAGAUGUCUCCUCCUGACCUGUCAAUCAAACCCACAUAUAAUACUGUUGAUUCUAUCAGUUCCGACAGUGGACUGGCUGGUCGAGUGGACCUCUAAUGUGGCCAAGCUCGAGCUCGAGGCCGUGGGGAAGCAGAUUUGCGACCUGGAACAGAGGCCUGCCCAGCUGAGAGAGCGGAGAGAGCCGCGCUGGAAUGAUCCCUGGCUGAUGCUCACAAGUCCUGGGGUAAGUAUACAGCGUGCUGUUAACAGUCCCACCACGUCUACUCCAUGUGUUUCUCUACGCAGGCCCGGUGCACCCAGGACGUGA
rnacentral:lncRNA from 1 species